rnacentral:tRNA from 1 species
GGGAGUAUGGCUCAGUGGUAGAGUACUUGUCUGAUAGUCUUGAGGCCCUGGGUUCUAUCUCCAGUACCUCA